rnacentral:rRNA from 1 species
GACGAACGCUGGCGGCGUGCUUAACACAUGCAAGUCGAACGGAAAGGCCCUGCUUUUGUGGGGUGCUCGAGUGGCGAACGGGUGAGUAACACGUGAGUAACCUGCCCUUGACUGUGGGAUAACUUCAGGAAACUGGGGCUAAUAUCGGAUAUGAUCUCCUGCUGCAUGUUGGGGGUUGGAAAGUUUCGGCGGUUGGGGAUGGACUCGCGGCUUAUCAGCUUGUUGGUGGGGUAGUGGUUUACCAAGGUUUUGACGGGUAGCCGGCCUGAGAGGGUGACCGGCGACAUGGGGACUACGAUACGGACCAGAAUCCUACGGGAGGCAGCAGUGGGGAAUAUUGCACAAUGGGCGGAAGCCUGAUGUAGCAACGCCGCGUGCGGGAUGACGGCCUUCGGGUUGUAAACCGCUUUCGCCUGUGACGAAGCGUGAGUGACGGUAAUGGGUAAAGAAGCACCGGCUAACUACGUG